rnacentral:rRNA from 1 species
UACAGAGGUCCCAAGCGUUGUUCGGAUUCACUGGGCGUAAAGGGUGCGUAGGUGGUGAGGCAAGUUCGAUGUGAAAUCUCCGGGCUUAACCCGGAAACUGCAUUGAAAACUGCCUCGCUCGAGGGUCGGAGGGGAGACUGGAAUUCUCGGUGUAGCAGUGAAAUGCGUAGAUAUCGAGAGGAACACCAGUGGCGAAGGCGAGUCUCUGGACGACACCUGACACUGAGGCACGAAAGCUAGGGGAGCAAACAGG